UACAGAGGGGGCAAGCGUUAUUCGGAAUUAUUGGGCGUAAAGGGCGCGUAGGCGGUCCUUCAAGUCUCUCGUGAAAUCCCUCGGCUUAACUGAGGACGUGCGGGAGAUACUGCUGGGCUUGAGUCCGGAAGAGGGUGGUGGAAUUCCCAGUGUAGCGGUGAAAUUCGUAGAUAUUGGGAAGAACACCGGUGGCGAAGGCGGCGACCUGGUCCGAUACUGACGCUGAGGCGCGAAAGCGUGGGGAGCAAACAGG
rnacentral:rRNA from 1 species